UAGGGUGUCAAUGUUGGAUAAGGUAUCUCUGCUAUCUAACUUGAUAUCUCCUAUCUUUGAAAAUUCUUCGUACCUUUGCGAACAAAACGGUACCAAGAAUCCUCCAGUGUCAGUGUUCGUCUAUUGCAUUACGGUUCUGUAUAUACUAAUGAAAAUUGUAGUAGAACAGUUUUAUUGUGUUUAAAAUUGUGGCAAUUUCUUCUUUAAUUGUCUUAUUAUAAAUUUAAAGAAAAUAUCACCGACACACGAAACUAAAAUCUCUCUGGCUUCGGAUCAAAGGUUUAACUGCAGGUUUGAAUAUUGUGCUAGUAAUAGCGAUUGUAUCAAAAUGUUAGUGAUAACGUAAUUAAUUGAAAUAUUUCCAUCUAUUUACACUUUUCACAUCUUUGUCUUUCGGAGCAAACAAAAGCGUCCUCAUUGUCCAUAUCGGUAUUUAGGUGUUCAAACAAGUGUCAAAGUUCAUUAAAAUUACGAAAUUUGUUCCCAACAUUGUUUCAUUCCGGAGAUGUAAUUUUUCCUUCCGUUGUCAAAAUAAAGGAAAAAAUAUCUUGCUUUGGGGAGAAGAAUUCGGUAAAGAUGCAGCAUGUAUUCACUCAACACGCUUAGAUGAAUCUAAUUGUUCAAAAAAGAAAAACAAAUUCCAGAUUUUAUAUGAUAUUUGAGAGGAAAACAGAAGCGUUCUAAGGAAAUCGACACACGAGAUGACCGAUCAAUAAAAUAUCAAAAUUAGCUUAUAGGAUAGAUUAUUAUGUGGUGGACAUACUGAAAUUACAGCGGACAGUCUUUCCUUACCCUGAAAAACGAAUGACAAUUUUAGAAAGAACUCGAGCAACGAUUUGCCGUCGACCACCUCGUCCCCUCCUUCAGAGCCAAACAUCGAGUUGAUUGUGGGCAUAGUAGUGGUCAUCUGUUUGUUCCUCAUCGUCUUGGGUCUUCUAAUGUACUUCAGACGCCUAAUUGGUGCGUUUUGCUGCAAGGAGGCACCGGCAAAAGAUAUUGAAUCACCAUCCAUCUCACAAAAUUGAAAGCUUUCACGCAGGCAAUAUCCCACAAGCUGAGCAUCGAUACACGCAGAUGUCUUCGAACAAGGAUAGUCAAUUUGAGGAACCCUUGUUGAACUCUCCAUCCCAGCGACCGCCGAUCCAUGAUGGGUACCCUGAUGUGAUGUCGCUCGGAGUUAGUAAGGAGAUCAUUGACGAAUAUAAAAGACUUCCCAAGCCCAUGAAGGAAACUACCGAAGCUUCGAAAACCUGCAACAAGUUCCAAAACCGCUACGCAUACGUUCUUCC